GCCUCUGUGGACUGUGGAAGUCACUUCAUCUCGUUUGGCCUCCAGAAGAUUGGUUAUUUGAAGAGACGUGGGUUCAAUUCCCACCGAAGGCG